rnacentral:lncRNA from 13 species
CCCAAAUUGGGGCUUAGCCUGGCAGAGUUCUUGGCUUUGCCCAGGAAAGAAUUCAAGAGCUAGCUGGUAGUGUUUAACAGCAACUCACCAGCAACGUUUAUUGAAGUGGCCGCAGUAACAGCAGCAGCAGAGUUACUGCUCCUUACAGAGUAGGAUUACCUCAUUACUGCUCCUUACAGCAGCAGUGUGCCCAGAAUGGAAGUUCAGAAGCUUGCUACAGUCAUAUUUAUGUCCACUUUUAAUUAUAUGCAAAUUAAGGGGAAGUUUAUGCAGAAAUUUCUAGAAUAAGGGUGGUACCUUCCGGCUUGUUGGGUCAUUGCCAUGGAAAGGGGUGAAGAAUAAAUUGAAGAUGAUUCCCAGAUGACAUUGCUAAUUGUGUUUUGUGUUGGAGAAGUUACAACAUGGAAGGAACCAGGGUCUUUGAGUCCUCUGAACUACUUGAAGGAAAUACUCACUGGACCUUUAUGUAAAGGAACCGAGACUUAGAGACCUGCCCAUAGUAAGAAAAUGCAACAUCUGGGUCUAGGGUCCAAAUCUAUCUCUGCUGUGAAGAGGAACUCAUAUAGGAGAUGUACACGAUUACAAAUUCUUGGCCUUGCAGUGGAGGCUUGCUCCUGCAGUGGUAGUGGAGUGAGGAGCCAGAAAAGGGACCAGGGGCUGGGGUGCAGAAGAAGGUGAUGUAAAUACCUGUGCCAACCUGAAGCAGCCCCUUCAGUUCUAAGUUUAUAAUCCUUCAGCUGGGCAAGAUGUUGAAGAUCCACUUGUUUCAAGAACACUCUUGUAUCCUUGCCAGAAUAGCACGUUCUUUACCCUGCGCCUCUGAAGGUAUCAGUCUAUAUUUAAGGCAAUAAUUAUGUGGACUGUCGGUCUUUCUUCAACAAGAGAGAUG